rnacentral:lncRNA from 1 species
UCUCUCUCUAUUCUGAAGAGGCCCUCCUCAAAUCAAAGCCACAUGUGAGCAUUCUCUGGCAGGUCCCAGAUGCGCUGGUUGUUGAGAGCAGAGCCAGCACCUUGUCUUUUUCCCAAAUGGUACUUAGCCCGGGGACCAGGACUGAGUUAAUUGUUAUGACUAUAUGGGUUCCUAGUAUCAAAGUCCUAGUGUGCAUAUUUUUCAGCUCUGAGUAAAGUUCUUGUUUUUAGAGUCAAUAAAUGUGUUAGAAAAUUGUGUGAGUUAAAACAAAAUUAAAAAGAUAUUAAAAUUGUUCUCUUUUUCCAUUCUUUCACUUUUUCCUACCUUCCCCCUUCCUCACAAAACCAACAAACAUACUCUCCCUGCAAAUAAACUCUGUGUUUAGACAACGACAGACAUGGUGCCUCACAUGGUCUGAUUUUGCCCUGAUUGUGUAGUAUUGACAUACAAGAAGGAAUGUGAGCUCAAAAAUGAAGCCUUCUGGGUUAUGUUCCUUUCAGUGGGGUUUACUCGGUGUGUAACUUUUCCCCGCCCUAAUUGCCGUAACGUAACGUAAUUAACGUAACGUAAGGCUCCAGCCCUGUGAUCCCUUCGAACUCUAAGAACUGGGGAGUCUACAGGCUACGUGGGAGUGAUGACAUAUUUUUCGUGUGAGAACCUUCUGCAUCACUUCCCACUCGAAGAUUUGCUCACUCCUGGAACAGAAUUUUCUUUGGACGGCUGUCCUGGCAAUGGUGACUUAUUCCCCUACUCCACCCACCACUGGUCUUUGUCGCAAGCCUGAGAAAAUGUAGCUGUGCACCUGGGAGUCUGCAGCCAGGACCAGGUAACUGCCUCUAGUUACUUUCUUCUAAAAGGGGUUUACUACUUACAAUGCUUCUUGGAUUGCUCAUGCUUUUAUUUUGCAUUACUAUUUAUGAAAACCUUUGGGCCACAUGUAUAUUGGAUUUAUCCAAGGACUCACAACUUGGCUGUGAAGAGUGAAGAAUGGAAUCUCAACUCACUAUCAACAAUCUCAUAGUUUAUUUUGGUCAGUGUAGCUUUACCACUUUCAAACCACUAGGUUCCAUUUAAAGAUCUGUCUUACUUGAAGCACAUACUUUUAAUAUCAUUCUUUUAAUAUCUUUUAAUAGAGCAUAUUCUUUUAAUAUCUAUUUAAGUAUUUGAUUAAUUAUAAUAAUGAAAGGAUUUUCUAGUUUAGAUAUCUUAUUCAUUUUCUUAGAACCCUAACCAAUAAAAUAAAUCUGGAG